rnacentral:rRNA from 1 species
AGAGUUUGAUCAUGGCUCAGAGCGAACGCUGGCGGCAUGCUUAACACAUGCAAGUCGCACGGGCAGGGGCAACUCUGUCAGUGGCGGACGGGUGAGUAACGCGUAGGGAUCUGUCUCUGGGUGGGGGACAACCGUGGGAAACUACGGCUAAUACCGCAUGACACCUGCGGGUCAAAGCUCGCGAGAGCGCCUGGAGAGGA